GUCUCAGUAGCGGCGAGUGAAGAGACAUCAGCCCAGAUUUAGAAUUGUAAUCUCGGAAGCAAUUCCGAGCUCGACGAAUGGCAUAACUUACCUGGGACGGUAGGCCAGAGAAGGUAACAGCCCUGUGAUGCCAGGACCGAGCCGUGAAUGCGUGGAGAGUCGGGUUGUUUGGGAAUGCAGCCCUAAGCGGGAGAUAGACAUCUUCUAAGGCUAAAUACCGGUGGGAGACCGAUAGCGCACAAGUACUGCGAAGGAAAGAUGAAAAGAACUUUGGAAAGAGGGUUAAAAGACGUGAAAUCGUUGAAGUGGAACUGAUCGCAGCCCGUCCAGGCUAUGUCUCCGUGCUUAGCUCUCCGGACCCCCGGACUCAAAUCCCAAGUCUCACGAGUUAAGUACUGGCAUAGCACGUCCCCGCAUCAGUUCUAGUGCUGCUAAUCAAACGCUUCAAGUUAGGUUGCGUCUGGAUCAGCACUGGGACUGAGGAAGAUGCGAGGAAAGCGACUGUGAUCGACCCGUCUUGAAACACGGACCAAGGAGUCUAACUGUCGUGCGAGUGGGAGGGUGUCAAACCCGAACGCGUACCGAAAGGGAGUAUAAGGUGCAAGGACAACCGCAGCACCAGCGAGCGAGAGCUCAGCAAGAGCACGAGGGUUAGGACCCGAAAGAUGGUGAACUAUGCCCGAGUAGGGUGAAGCCAGGGGAAACUCUGGUGGAGGCUCGAAGCGUUACUGACGUGCAAAUCGUUCGUCGAACUUGGGUGUAGGGGCGAAAGACUAAUCGAACCAUCUAGUAGCUGGUUCCCUCUGAAAUUUCUCUCAGGAUAGCGGGGACAGAACAGUUUUAUCAGGUAAAGCGAAUGAUUAGAGUCCUCGGGGGCCAGAGGCCCUUGAACUAUUCUCAAACUUUCAAUUGGUAAGAGCCCAUGGGUUGCUUAACUGAACCCAGGGGAACAAUGUCUGUCCUCAGUGGGCCAUUUUUGGUAAGCAGAACUGGCGAUGAGGGAUGAACCUAACGUCGGGCUAAGGUGCCCAAUUCCACGCUCAUGAGACACCAAAAAAGGUGUUGGUUCAUUUAAACAGCAGGACGGUGGCCAUGGAAGU
rnacentral:rRNA from 1 species